GAUGAACGCUGGCGGCGUGCCUAAUACAUGCAAGUCGAGCGAACAGACGAGGAGCUUGCUCCUCUGACGUUAGCGGCGGACGGGUGAGUAACACGUGGAUAACCUACCUAUAAGACUGGGAUAACUUCGGGAAACCGGAGCUAAUACCGGAUAAUAUAUUGAACCGCAUGGUUCAAUAGUGAAAGACGGUUUUGCUGUCACUUAUAGAUGGAUCCGCGCCGCAUUAGCUAGUUGGUAAGGUAACGGCUUACCAAGGCAACGAUGCGUAGCCGACCUGAGAGGGUGAUCGGGCACACUGGAACUGAGACACGGUCCAGACUCCUACGGGGGGCAGCAGUAGGGAAUCUUCCGCAAUGGGCGAAAGCCUGACGGAGCAACGCCGCGUGAGUGAUGAAGGUCUUCGGAUCGUAAAACUCUGUUAUUAGGGAAGAACAAAUGUGUAAGUAACUAUGCACGUCUUGACGGUACCUAAUCAGAAAGCCACGGCUAACUACGUG
rnacentral:rRNA from 1 species